UACGUAGGGUGCAAGCGUUGUCCGGAAUUAUUGGGCGUAAAGAGCUCGUAGGCGGUCUGUUGCGUCGGCUGUGAAAACCCGGAGCUCAACUCCGGGCCUGCAGUCGAUACGGGCGGACUGGAGUGUUGCAGGGGAGACUGGAAUUCCUGGUGUAGCGGUGAAAUGCGCAGAUAUCAGGAGGAACACCGGUGGCGAAGGCGGGUCUCUGGGCAACUACUGACGCUGAGGAGCGAAAGCGUGGGGAGCGAACAGG
rnacentral:rRNA from 1 species